GUAGUAGCUCAGUUGGAAGAGUGAUUGCUUAGCAUGCAUGGGGCCCCAGGUUCAAUCCCCAGCAUCACA
rnacentral:tRNA from 1 species